UGCAGUGUUGUGUGGAUCCCCAGU
rnacentral:piRNA from 1 species